AAUGAAUGCGUGCAGCUCUGCCCAGCCACCGACGCGCAAAGGUUGCCGUCUCCAAUCGCCAGUAACGCUGUAUAGCUGUAGCUGUUACAAAAGCGGAGCUGAGCAACGGCUGGUCCAGCAGGCUGCUGCUCAGGCUGGUGGAGGAGGUCUAUGCUUCGUUGCCGGAAGUCGUUCCACCAUGUCUUCCCACCCCUGGCUGUCUGUCCUGCUGCAGGAGUGGAAGGAUGAGGAGGACCUUGUGUUUCAAAAGCAGCAUACUAGGUAAGUGUGAAGGACUCUAACUUGCAUGCUUUGGCCGAAGUGAAGGUGUCAGAGUAGACAGGGGGCUGUUGAUGGUCCCUGUAUGAACACCAUGUGGACAAAUGGACAAGGGACCUCCAGUGGAGGACAGGACAUGGGGCGAUAGCUACUAACCGGUAUCUGGUACACAUUAAUCCUGGCUUAGAAGAUGGCUAUUCCGUCUGCUCUCAGACAGAACCAUCCACCAUCUUUUUGUUAAGUGCUCCAGAUUCCUUUCAGGACUGGGGAAAGUAGCGCUGAAAGACGUUCUGUGUUCAGUUAGAGACAUUGCUCUGGUUCGGAAUUUUUGACUUGUUCUUUCUUUUGUAUAUAUAUUGUGUUCUGUGGGAUUUAGUGUUUUUUAUCAUUUUUCUUUGAUAAACAGUAUCUCUUUCCCUCUUUCUCUGAGUGGAAGGAGUGCUGAGUGAAGGGAGCGUGAGAUGAAUUGUGGUUGUGUUUUUCUGUCAGUUAUCUUGUUUAGUUUCUGCAUCUAUGUGGUGUGUAUUGUGGUUUGAAUGUGUAGCGUGACUUUUUUUUUGUGGGUUAGUUUUUGCAUGUUUGCAGCCGAUCAGCAUGCUGCAUGAUGGACUGGCGCAGACGCGUGAAGCACAGCGUGAAGAACAACGUGAAGCACGGCAUGAAGCACGGCGUGAAGCUUGCGUGCUGGGUGGACGACUGCGGCAUGGCCGUGAGGGGAUUGGUGGGUGGAAUGUGCGUGGAAUGCUUAUGCCUGUUCUGCGUCUUGCCUUACUGGCGGACAGAGUGACAGUAUCAAACAUUCUGCCGUUUCUUCUCGACAAGGUUCUUUUUGAAGAGCUGGUGAAGAAUGGGAAAGUAUCCUCAGGAUGCAGGUCUCCUCUGCUGAGAUGUGGUAUCUCACAGGAGACUGCUCCACAUUGUCCUCACCAAGGCCCAUGGUUCUCAGCCUGGUGAUUAAGGUGAGGAUCGAUGGCGUUGAUUAGGUCAUGUUUGUUACCUCUGAUGGGAGAUGUUUCAAUUGUGGUGGAGCGGGACACCUGGGGAGGGUUUGUCCAGAAAAGAACCCCUCUACUACCGGGAUGCCAUGGAGUAAGAGGUUGCAGGUCGGUCUUGUGUGUGACUAAGUGAAAAAGGGUAAAGUAGGGUUUUAAUGGUCCCCCACCUGAAGAGGAAGACGGGGGAAGCAGAGGUGACUCUUGGGGAAAGAGAGGGGCAGCGAGCAGAGGGGAGUUGGUAGGUGGGGUGACAGAGUGAGAUUCCUCUUUGGAGUUUUUCCCCAGGGAGCAAUUAGGGGUUAGGUGUCUUGCUCAGGGACACUUUGACUUGGGACGUGGGGCAGCCGGGACUCAAACCACCAACCCGGUUCCCAGCGCACACACUCUUCUUGCUGGAAACAAAGAACGAGAGAGGAGUGAGGCUGGAUGACUCCUUCUCCGACAUGGAUUGAGUUCUCUCGCUCGGUUUGGCAUUGCAGCAGUAAAAAGCGCACUGGAAAAUACAUCCAGCAGGAGGUCAUCAGACUGAGGAAGUUCAUCCUCAAAAUCAACAAGUGAGGUGGGAGCACUACUGAGGACUGAGGGCCUCAAGUAUGUACAUUUGCAAACUUCAGCGUCACGGAGGAUGCGCAGAUAGCGCCCACUGUGAUCCUUUAGCUUACGUCAUAUUUUCGAAACCUUCAGCGCAACAGGUAAUCAGCGCCUUUCUCUGCCCACUAUACCGCACAUUGCAAGCAUUUAAACGUGCUGAAUGUACCUCCUACACUCUUUCUAUCUUCGGUCAGCCAGAGUCAAAACAGCAAAAACAAAAAUUCUGUGACAACGAAAUUGAUGGUUUAUUUGGGCAUCAGUGGUGGGGAAAUGUAUGUUUUGACUAGUGUCCUGUAGCAAAGCGUUAAGUACCUGUGCUGUGAUACGGUUGAGUGCAGGCUGCGAUAUUCCCACUGCUGAAAAGAAUCCUGCUGCCAAUAAUUGUAAUGUAACAAGGAGCUUAACCCUAACUACUGGAAUGGUAUGUACAUGCUGAGUUGGCGAUAUGAUGUCAUCUUUGAUUUCUUUCGAUAACUGUAAUAUAACUGCUUAAUUAUUUUCAGCUUUGCUUAUUUCUGUAUCUUCAGCAAUUUUUUGAAAUUUGUUUCAGCCUUUAGCAUUCAAAUGCAUUUUUAGCAGUAAAUGCAUUUUCUAGUUUACUGGAAGCUUCGUGCUUUCUUUCACAGGUUUCCAUGGACGGUGGUUCUAUCUGAACUCUGGACAGAGAUUAGGAAGUCAGGUUCUCCACAUCAACAGUAAAAUGGUAUGAUGUUAAGCUCACAACUAUGUCUGCUGCCCCAAGUGUCCAAUAAAUAAAAGAUAUUAUGAUUAAUAUUAUUAAUAGGCUAAAUAAUAAUAACAAUUCAUUAUUACCAUUAAUUGUGGUAAAAAGAGUAUGCUAGAGUGUAUAUUUUGUUAAUUUGAUAAUGUUUUAGAAUGUUAGAAAUUUAUUUCAGUUUCAUUCAAUUCAAACAUAAAAUUUCAGAAUUUGAAAAGUAUUGUAGUACCACACAGCGGGUUAAUUUGUAGCCAUAAACCCAGAAUUGCGCAUGUAACGGUAUCAUUGUGCAUAAAACGCAUUAAAUAAAAAUGUUUUUGAUUGAUCCAUCCAUCCAUCUAUUGGAUGCUUUGCAAUACACCUUGCAUUGACUUGAAAUAGCUCUCUGCUUGGUAACUAAUGGGACCAUCGAAUUACUUUUUUUUGUCUUGCACUAAGGCAAGAUCUCGGAGGGACUUCCAGUUUCUAAUUAAUAAUUGGUAUAUGUGGCUGACGCUCUGUGAGAUUAUUUGAAGUCAUUAGAAAACACCCCCUUCCACUGAAUCUUCGGAGAGAAAGAAGGCGACUAGCUGUCCUACUGGGAUUUUAUCGACGCACCAAUAGUGUUUUGUUCAUGAAAUUUAAUUGCGGCAUCCACAAACUUGUUCCUGUGGGUAUUACAAAAUAAUGACUCUGUUCUAACAUGAAAUUAAAAGCAAAAAUGGUUUUUUUUUCCUUUGGGCUGGAAUCUUAAUGAAAAAUAUGAAUGCUGACACCCUAA